CCCUGGGCAACCCUGCUGGUAUUUGAAAUACCAAUGGCAUAGCUUUCAGCAUCAUAUCAACACUCAAGCCACUCCAGUACUACAAACUGACAGACAAGUGGUAGCUUCUCUUUGCAAAGAGAACGUAGUCUUCUCUCUACCCUUCCCUUUACCUCUCCACCCUUUUCCACUGCCAACCAUUUUGAGUGGCCCUCUUUUAUAUUUUAAUGGUCAUUAUAAGUCUUCAGGAAUUUAUCCAAUUAGAAAAUCAAUAAACACCAUUAACAUCUGCAUUAUCAUGAUUCUGUAAGUAUUGUUCACUGCCUGUGCAAAUGAUUUUUGCAAAGAUUUUUUUUCUAGAGUCAACUGUCACAAUCCCUAUCUCCUCAAAGAAUAUUUCUCACAAUGCCAAAUAGAACGUAUUUUUCUACAAUCCCAAACUUGCUGAAACUCUUGCCACAUUUGAUUUGCUUUGUAGUUGGAUCAUGCUUUUCCUGUGUAGGUUUUUUUUAUUUCCUUCCAGUUUUAAUUGCUUUUCUUUUCAUUGUCUUCCUUUUUCUUUUAUAAUAUCCUUACUCUUUUCUGAAACUAUAUUCUACAGAGUCCCCUUUUUCCAAGAGUUCUUCCUUUUAGAACUUUGUGUCGUUCUAUUUCAUACUGCAGUUCUUACAUGUAGGACAGUUUCUGGCUUCCUGGAUGGUGCAAAUUGUUAAGCACUCAACUACCAGCUGAAAGGUUGGCGGUUCAAACUCACCCAGCAGUGCCUCGGGACACAGGUCUGGCAAUGGCGAUCUGCUUCUGAAAGGUCACAGCCUUGAAAACACUAUGGAGUAGUUCUCCUCUGCACACGUAGGUCACUAUGAGUCGGAAUCUGCUCAACAGCAGCUAACAGCAACUGGAUUGCUUCAGGGCUCUCAGCUAAGGAUUCAUCUCUGCUUUCUGAGUGAGAGUCCCUGUUUCCUAGACAACAUGUAUAUUAGUUUCCAGUUGCUGCCACAACAAAUUACCUCAAACUCAGUUGCUUAAAACGCCACUAAUUUAUUAUCUUACAGUUCUGUAGGUCAAAAGUCUGACACUGGGCUAAAAUCAAUGUGUUGGCAGGACUUUAUCCUUCUGGAGACCUCAGGGGGAAAUAUGUCUCCUUGACUUUUUCAGUCUAGAGUCUGCCUCCAUUCCUUCGUUCAUGAUCCUUUUCUUCCAACUUCAAAGACAGCAAUGGCUGGUAGAGUCCUUCUCAUAUCGCGUGACUCUAACCACUUCUGUAGUUCCAUCUCCCUCUGACUCUCUUUUGUCUCCCUCUUCCACAUUUGAGAACCCUUGUGAUGUGUUGGAUCCACCCGGAGAAUCCAGGGUAAUCUCCCCGUGCUCAGGGUAAUCUCCCACAGCUGCAAGGUCUCUUUUGCCAUAUGGGGUAAUACUCACUGGUUCCAGAAAUGAGAGCAUGGACAUCUUUGAGGAGCCAUUUUUAUGCCUACUGCAACACAUUUUCCCUCUCGCAGUUUAUAGGGUAGCACCCAUUCUGCUUUCACAUCACAAAUACUCUUAAUAUAUCUGUUUUCUUCUGCCUUCUCUGGAAUCCAGACAAUCAUCAGAAUUGAGAUGGUAGUUGAACUAUUUAUUGAUUUGUAGAUGAAGAGGAAAGUAAAGAGAAACGACCUUAUGCAUUUACUUACAGGAUGUGUUACCUAUUAUUGGUGAAAGAUAGGCUUAGUGGUUUGACUCAAACCUGCAACAAAGCUCAUUUAUUCAAGAAUUCUCUGACCAUUUCAUUUUGGUCACCUUCUUCACCUUAACUCUUUGAUGCUCACACUAGAGCUUGUGAAGUUUACAUUUGAUUUAUUGUAAGGUUCCAAAGUGGUCUGUUGUGUGCAAAAAUAUGACUUCCUCCCAUCUCCCAGCAAUGUUCAUAUAUUCUCAUCAUGAGUAUGUAAUCAGCGUUAACUCCUUUAUCAAAUGACCUUAUGGUUCAACUGUACUGGCUGGAGUGACUAAUCCUGAUUACCAUGAGGAUAUUGGGCUGCUUCUACACAGUGAAAGUAAGGAAGAGUUUAUCUGGAAUAUAGGAGAUCCCUUAGAGCAUCUCUUAGUACUACCAUGCUUUGUGAAUAAAGUCCAUCAAAAACUACAACAACCCAAUUCAGGCGGGACUACUAAUGGCCCAGAUCCUACAGGAGUGAAGGUUUGCGUCACCACACCAGGCAAAGGGCCAUGGCCAGCUGAGGUGCUUGCUGAGGGCAAAGGAAAUAUGUAAUGGGUAGUGGAAGAAGAUAGUUAUAAAUAACAGCUCUGACCACAUGACCAGAUGCAGAAUGUAAUUAUUAUAUUUCUUCCUUAUUUUGUUAUAUGUUUGUGGGUGUGUGUGUGUAUGCAGCAAACGUCUUUGUUUUCUUCUCUCUCUUAUCCCUUUAUCAUAUAUAACAUAAGAUGUGUUAAUAAUAGUUAACUUUACAUUACAGCAUUUAAAUUAUAGGCUAUCAAGGAGAAUAGUGAACAUUACCUCAAUUCUGAUAUAUAUAUCAUGUUUAUAUAUGUUAUGCAUAUAUAGAUACAUACUACACACACACACACACACACACACGAGUUGUUGUCGUUAGGUGCCAUCGAGUUGGUCUGCCUCAUAGUGACCCUAUGUAUAACACUUAAUGAUUGGGCAAGCCAGUAAUAACUUGAGAUGGUAAUGAUGUUAAACACAAGUCUUCAAUUUAAAGGCCGUAGUCCCACAUGCAUUUGAAGACAGUGUAUUUUUUUAAUGCCCAGUUUGUAAACACUGAUUAAUUCAGCAGUAAUACAAAUUGUGAGAAAUGGCACCUAUAAGAUUGACUGAACACCAUUAAAAUGCAGACGAUUAGUCAACAAAGGUAGAGCCUACCCAUCCCUAGUUUUUAAACACAUCUAAUACUCCUAUAUAUCUAUCAAUCAGUCACACCAUCCCUAUUUUGAAAUGAUUUAAAUUAAAGACAUUGCCCUGUGGCAGGAAGUAUCUGUUACAUGUUCCAAUGAUUUUCUCUCUGGCCAUCAUGCCAUUUUACCUUUAAAGUAUACUUUCAAUAGGUAACUGAAAAAAUAAAGUGUGUUUGCAAAGAGUUUCUUUUAGUUUUAUCUUGCCCUUUGGUCAAACUAUUUCUGAUGCAUCAUCUACUCCGUGAUGCCACUCUGUGGGAGAAAAGAAACAGAGCUUUCCAGUCACUAGACUAAAGAAGGUUGCUAAACAUAAAAGCAUGAUAGUGAUAAAUUGCUUUAAAAACAGAGAAAGUAAAAAAGCAGGGUUUAAAGGGUCACCAUGAAGAAACCAGAGAUGUAAAAAUAUAUAGUAUAAAAAUAUCUUCUACUUCACCAUUUCAAGGAAAUUUGAAAUUCAAAUAAAGGUAUAUUUUGCAAAGACUCCCUCUUCUACCAAAGUUUCCACUGCAGGUUGACAUUCUCACAGACUUGGCGGGGUUUUUCGUCGCGGUGGUUGUUUUUUAAUCAUUGUGUAUGUGCGCGUGUGUGCUUUUUUUUUUUUUUUGCAAACUAGAAAUUUUAUGGCUGAUGCCUAGCCUGUCUCUUAACUCAUUCUAAUUAUAUUCAUAAUUAAAUUGUAAAAAAAAGUGGUUGACUAGAGCCAAAUGGCUUGCACAGGCGUCUUAUUGUAGGAAUGGUUUAGUGCUAGAUAAUAAACAACUGGACUUCCAUCUACUUAAUUUGGCUUAAUGAAAAGUCCUUUGUAAGUAAAACUAGAAGGUGAUUCAGAUUUAAAAUUGGGCUUUGACUCUGAAAUUAAUUGAGUGGUAAGACAUCAGCUCCGUUAGAAAAUGUGGUGCUUAUCUUUUUGCUCUUCGUUAAAACUUUUAUUUUACUUGCACUCCUUUCUUUCAUGUCCUUAAGAUGUCACUUUUUCAAAGCAAUAAACUUUCCAAGCUGAGCCAUCAGGCCCUGCGCCUUCAUGAGUCAGCUUCCCGAACAUCCCUAUCCUACAGAACGGACAUGCUUUUAAAUAUAUAUAUAUAUAACAAAAUCUAGAAUUUUUCCUCAGUACCUCAAUGGAAAACAGCGGUCUUGACCCAUUCCUCUAGUGGUGGAUUUAAGUCACUGGUUUUCGCAGCCUGUUAUUAGAUUCAUUGCAUCAGUAGACUUUAAUGAAAUUUAAAGUUUGCAGCCUUAGAUUCUACACUGAGGCUUUCUGGCUCAUUUCACAUUCUUGGGUUGACAUCCCAUUGGGAUCACUACUGAGGUGCCUUCAAAAAAUUGUCCAGUCUCUCCUCAUCCCCACCUCUGACUCUGGCCACAUUUCCAAACAUUUACACAAGCUGCUGUAUAGCCAGCCCCUCACCCUAAACUCUUCACCUACCAAUUCUUCUAUGACCUACUUCUAUGACCUUCUUCCUCCAUAAAUUUUUCUCUCACCUAGUCCAGUGUAGUACCAGUAAUAAAGAUAAGCAAAUUGAUGCAACUAGCUUGCCAUUUAAUUUGGAGGAAAAACCAAAUACCUUGCAAGGCCUUCAAGGCCCUACAUACUCUGGUCACCCAAAAGUUCUUAGACUUUAUCUUUUACUAUUCUGCCUUGCCCAUCUUAUUCCAGCCCAUUGGUCUCCAAGCUCUUCGAUUACCCUAGGCAUGCCAAGGGUCUUUGCACUGCCUGAUCCCUCUACCAAAACACACUUCCUUGGAUAGCUGCUUGCAUGUCAACUUCUCAGUGAGGUCCACUCUCAUCACCUAAGCCAAAAUUUUAAUGUGCACCCCAGACAACCCUCCCAUUCAAAUCCUGACUUAGCCAUUUUCUACCUGUAAGAAAAACCUUCAGCAAAUUCUUAACCUUUCCAGGCCUCAAUUUCUACAUCUGUAACAUGGAGAUAAAAAGAGUAUCUCUCUUGUUGAAUAGGUGUAUGUUUUGUGGCGUAUAUUUUCACAAAAAAUAAAAAUAUAUAAUAUCUCUCCAUGGAAAUUUUUAAAAUAAUAUAAUGAAAUGGUAACGGUAAUAAAGCACUUAUUUACAGAGUUGCUGACACAUGGUAUUUAGUAAAUGUUAACUAUUAAGUCAGAGUACAACGGGACUAAACUCUAGACCACACUCUCAGAUGACCUUCGUAUCUUUUCUCACUAGUAUUUCUACUCCUAUAGUGAAGCUGUCUCAAGUAACACACAUGGCCAUCUUUAUUCUGCUCUAAUAUUUUGUUUCCUAGAAAUCCAAACAGCACCAAACAUGCUUAAGUUACCAUUACAGUAUAUUUUCUUGCUUCACAAUCCAGGGACUCCCACUUUCUUCCUUUAUCUCAUGAUAUUUCUCCUUGCUUCUGCCAUCCAUUCCUGGCCCAAAUACCACUUGAUGGUCCAAGCCUACCACUUUAUUAUAGAACAUAAAUCUUCAUCAUAGUCCAGAGUCUAACAAUCAUCUCCAACCAGGCACCAGCUUGCUGCUAUUAAAUAUUAGUAAGUCUGUAACAUUCACAGUGGCACUAGAAAAGAGACAGCUCCAAAGAAAUGCCUUCUCCCCAUUGGAAAUUAGCUGCCUUUCUGAUAGUGAAUCCUGUUUCAGCUUGGGAAGGUCAUAGGAAGAAGCAUUGGUAGGUGAGGAGUUUGGGGUGAUGGGGAGGCUGUACAGCCCCCUUGGUAAAUAUUUGUCACACUUUAGAUCUUUCUCACAGAUAAAAAUAUUCAAGAGUUAUCAACUAAACCAUAUUCAAUAAGAAGUCAUCACUCCUCACACAAACACACAUAGACACAGGAACACGCACGCACACUUGUUCUCUAAUACCUGAAAUGUUUCACUUUUUCUUUUCUAUUGUCGCAAUUCAUGAUAGUCUAGCUCUAAAAAGGUAGAUUUUUUUUUUUUUUUUAACAAGAGGCCUUUAUAUUAACCUUCCAUUUGCUAUUUUCAGGACUUGACAUGGAAUAAGAACUGAUCUCUUACUCUGUUCUCUCUCGCUUGCUCACACUCAGUCACAUUCUCUCUCUUCUCUAAAGUGUUUGUCCUUACUCUAGCUCCCCACCUCUCUGUUGGAAGCAGAACUAGGACUAUCACGGACUCCUUGGAAUGUGUCGUUUUUUCAUUUGGCUCAUUCCUUAUUUUUCUGCAGAGUUAAACUUUAGAUGUGAUGGCUGCUGGAGUAGUAUAAAUUUCCUGGGGGAAUUCUGCUUAUGUUGGAACAGCAGACUAUCUACACUGAGAAUUGCUGUGUGGUUUGGAGAAUGGAACUUUUCCCUCAGGAUUUACUCAUACAUUUUCCUGCAAUUUGGGAAACAAAUACAUGGAAAAUGGACACACUGCUAUAGAAAUGCAAGUAGCAGUGCUGGUUUUUCAGAGUAAAAGUAUUAUGAUCAAAAGAAUAAACACAAACUUAUAUUUUAAAAAAUGCAUAAACUGUUAAAAAGUUAUAUUGGGAUAUUAGGUAAUUAUGAGAGUUUUUUUCCUUUCAUUGAUUUAUACAUAGCUUUCCAUUUAACUGUGCAGUCCCUACCCACAUUUCAUUCCAUAGAACACCUUUAUUUUUCAGAAAAUUGGAAUUUUAGAAGGUCAAAUGCCUAAGGUCCUGAGACCGUGAUUACUGUCUAACCAGACAAUCAGCUCUGGGCCCCUUUCUUUUUUCCUUCUCACCUUGAGUGUCCAAGAGGCAAAAAGAUGACCCUUUCAGAUCCCGAGUCCAUUCUUCUGCCAAGUAUCGGAUGGGCAGACCUAAUUAUUGCCAUCUGUCCUGCUAGUUACAAGUUGAUGCUGUCUUACCAGCAGAUGAAAUCAAUGAUCUUGUGAGCACCUUCUCCAACCCCCUAACUCUAAGCACAAUGGAAAAUUGUUUUCUGACAUCUUUUGUACAUUAUCCUCUGAAUGUCUAAUACUUAAGAAGGAACCAUUUCAUCACUGAAAUAUUCUACAGAAAUUUCUAUUCCUUUGUGCCCUGUUUUAAAAAUGUUUUAGGAAAAGUCUGAGCAAAUAUGAGACCUGGAAUCCUUCAGAAGUUCGUAUUUGUGCUGCCCAGAUCUGUGAUGCCCAGGGCUUCUGAGGGCUGAAUCCCCGAGUGAAUGUGAAACAGUGUUAGCAAAACAGAUGACCUAGUACCCUCCCAAAGGGAAAGAACAGACCAACUAGAGCAUAACUAGCAAAACCACGUUGGUCCAAGUCAGAACGAAAGCAAUGUCUUUCUCAUAACAUCCCCUUAAUGUUUGAAAAUACCGAAAAUGUUAGUCCCACCCCCUCUUCAGUAUUUUUCUUUCUUUCUCUGUUCUUUCAAUCAUUUCUCAUGAAUCAGUGUUUUCCAGACCCUCAUCACCACGAUCACACUCCUCUAAGCGUGCCCUUCGAGAAUUUGGAAAUCACACUUCAAUGGAGUGCUUUAGAUUUGCAACUUUAUCAGUGCAGUAUAGUUUCCUUCUUUCUUCUAGGAGUAUUUAUUACUAUAACCUAAAACUUAAUUAGCUCUUUAUUAAUAUUAUUUAAUUAUAUUAUUAAGACCUGAAAUUGAAUUUCACAAUUCCAGGUAUCACUUUUAACCAUUUUUCCCUUGUCCUAAAUUUGUGCAUUUUAAAACCCACAUGCAGAAAUUUGCAAUCAACGUUGUACCUUUUUUUAAAAAAUCUCUUCUCCCCAUGCUCCCAGCCAAUCAAGGCAAUAACACCAACUGUGAAGGAGGGGGUUUGCAUUAAAGUUUGCAUAUUCACAAAAUUUCUCUCACCUGUGUCUCAUAACAAGCCAUGAUACACACGUAUAUGAUUAUGCUUCUUAUUUUGUUUUUACAAAUGAGGAAGCUCUAGCUAAUAAAUUUUCAGUGGAUUGCACAAGGUUACACUGAUAGUAAUUGGUGGUACUGGGACCAAAACCCAAGUUUUUAACUGUAAGUCCUUCAUUUCUAUCAUUUAGCCUUUCUCCCACCAUUGUAGCAUUUGCAAAUCUGAGCAGUUUGUCUUCCAGGUCCAUAUCCAGAUCUUUGACUACAUUUCAAGACCACAUAAACCAAAAAACCAAGCCCAUUGCUGUCGAGUCAAUUCCGACUCAUAGCAACUUUAUAGGACAUAGUAGAACUGCCCCAUAGGGUUUCCAAGAAGCAGCUGAUGGAUUCAAACUGCUGACCUUUUGAUUAGUAGCUGUAGCACUUAAUCACUGUGCCGCUAGGGCUCCCAAGACCACAUAGCACAGAUUUUAAGAUCAUUUGGAACAAGGAAACAACUAGAGAUAGCAAUUUAUAACAUUUUGGGAAGUCAGUAAAAAGAAUUGUAGAAAGAGAAAUUGCAAAUUUACAAAGUGAAAUUCUUUAGACCUUUGGACACUUGUUAGAAUUAAUUUGAGUCAUAAAUCUUGUAAACUAAUGGGCUAGUGUUGAUAUAUAAAUACACCCUAGAACUGUCCCUACAAUUACAACUCCAAUUUAAGGUAUAAUUACUAUACUUAUCACUUGCAUUAGUCAUAUAUGCACAUUUUGCCAUUUAAGCUAAUUUUUAUAAUGCUUCUUUGUGAUAGAUAUUAUUAUUCCCAUUAUUUCAACUUAGGAAACUGAGGCUGAUAGAAAUUAAAUAAUAUGUCUAAGGUCACCAGCUAGGCAGUUGCAGAGCUGGAAUUUGAACCCAGAACUGGAAGACUCCCAAAGCUUUUACUCUUAACUACAAAAGUAUAGUAUUUGCCCAAUUUAGACAAACUCAUAAUAAAGUGUCUACUUUGAGAUGCAAUAAUUAGUAGAUUUAGAUGUGAUUCAGAUAAAGAUUCUAUGUUGUUAAACACUACAUACAGUAAGAGGAAAUUAUAGAACAGGAAUGAAUUUAUCUGCUUAUACAUGUGUUCUUAAAGACUUGUAUUAAUUUAAGAAAGGCUUUCUGUCUUGAACAUUGAAUUUAAAAUUAACUCAAAUUUCUUAUUUGCUUCCCGUAUCCAAGACAACAUAUUACAGGUACUUAGUCUUGUGCUAGGCCACUGGAAAAACUUUUAAAAAUAAAAAUAAAAUACCAAUGAAAUCACACACACCUAACAAAGGGAGAAGAUUAGAGGAUAUUCAAGUUUAUUUGUAAAGAACAUUUAUCUUUUUAAAAUAUUACCUAAGAGCACUUAUUUUGUGUGAAAUGUAUCACUAUAGAAAAACAACAACAAAAAUCCCAAUAAGCUCCUUUUCUUCUGAAGCGUAAAUAGAAACAAGGACUACAUAGUUACUAUAUUUUCAAACAACUGAAUUAAGAAAUAACUUGCAUCCUAUGUGUUAUUUAAUUGAAAGGUAGGACUAUAACACAGGAUUUACUUAUCCCUCAUAUUAUGUUCUAGAAAAGUCUUUUCAUGGAGUCUGUAAAAUAAAUUCAUUUUUUUAACCCUCCAUACCUAUAAUAAAAAAAAGCCCAACUAUAGUUAAAAUACUGAACCUGUGUCCACUCACACUUUAUGAUAUGCCUCUUUUUAAAAAUAUUUAAUGUUUUUGUUGAAGUAGAGCAUCCACACAGAAAAGUGCACAGAUCAUAAGAACAUUGUUAGUUGAGAAGUGUUCUUGUAAAAUAGGUGUUCCAGGCUUGCUCGUCUGUGACUCCUUUUGCUGACAAUUAAUUGUAAAUUAUGUCUAUUCAGUUUUAAGUGUGAACUGACUAAGUUGUUUCGUGUGUAGGUACAGAGCAGUACAGUAUUGCUUUUCCAUCUCUUAAUCUGACUUAAGCUUCUCUGGGGUAGGAGCCAUGUCUUACUCAUCUUUGUAGCUCCAAUACUUUUCAUUGUUGCUGUUCGUUGCCUUUGAGUUGGCUCCAACUCAUGGCAGGCUUAUGUGUAAUAGAACGAAACUUUGCCCAGUCCUGUACCAUCUUUAUGGUUGUUGCUAUGUUUGAGUCCAUGGUGGCUGUUGUAUGGUGCAUGCCAACCUAGGAGGCUCAUCUUCCAGCACUACACUGGACAAUAUUCUGUAUGAUCCAUGAGGUUUUCGUUGGCUAAUUUUUGGAAGUAGAUCACCAGGCCUUUCUUCCUAGUCUUUCUUAGUCUGGAAGCUCUACUGAAACCUGUCCACCUUGGGUGACCGUGCUGGUAUUUGAAAUACCAGUGGCAUUCCUUCCGGCAUUGUAGCAACAGGCAAGCCAUCACAGUAGGACAAGCUGACCGACAGGGGGUGGAGCUCCAAUAUUAGGUGCAUAUAUAAAAAACAAGGUGCUUUUUGGUGGUUUUUUCAUUUUCACAGUCCACAGUAAUUAGCAGCAAUAAUCCUGAUCUGCUGAAACAGAGGAGUGGGAAGGACUGGUGGUAGUAGGUGAAUAAGAAAGGUGAAAACCAUGCUUAAUUUAAUACAUUUUGCUAAUACCAAAAAACCAAACCCGUUGGCUUUGAGUUAAUUCCAACUCAUAGCAACCCUGUGGGACAGAGUAGAGACGCCCCAUAGAGUUCCCAAGGAGUGGCCGGAGGAUUCAAACUGCCGAUCUUUUGGUUAGCACCUGAGCUCUUAACCACUGUACUACCAGGGGUAUAAUAAAUUUAGAAAUUAACUACUUAUGUUUCGCAAAAUGUUCUUAACCUGUCCUAUAAGCUCUGUUAUACAGCUACCUUCAGAGGAAUAGGCAGACUCUAGUCUUCAUAGUUUCUAUAUGUUAAAGUAAUAUUACUACAUAAUUCACAGAGUUUUCAUCUUGGGUGGUUUAAAUGUUUACGGGAGAAGAAAGGGAAAAUUAUAUGAGCAAAAAAGUAUUGUGUCCACGCUGGUGACCAUUUGCAGUCUUCAAAGGGUUACCUGAACAACUGCUAACACAACUUGCCAGACUUAAAUGCAGAGCAAUGGUGGAGAGAACAGUGAAACUGUACUAUAAAAAUAAAUUACUGUCAUGAAUAUUAAGCAACAAGAAUAUAAUAAACAUGACUGUUUGCAUGAUUCUGAUUUAUUGGUACUGAUAUGCCUAUAAAUUAUGGCACUAAGUGUUUAUUCUAGUUGUUUCAGAAUAUGGGCCAAACAAAGCUGGGUGGACACUUCCUGCAGAUCUUACCAUCUGCCACCAAAUUCCCACUUCAGUACUCCUGUUGCCCGAUUUCUUAUGUCAGUGGCAUCAGGACCGUGUGUGAGCACCCUGCCCUUUAGGUCACUUCACAGUCUGAAGUCGAUUGCAUUUUCAGGAUCUGGUUUUACAACUAGCAUCGUGCAAGUUCCAUUUUCUCACAGUUGGAAAACUCCAGCUCCAGCUGCAAAGUGUCCUGAAGGCUGUUCCUACUUACUGUGUUAAACAGUGCUCACUUUUGACACCAGAGAGUCCAUUAAUGUAUUUACGAACCUCUUGGCACCAGAUUUGGGAUUUCCCAAUGCUAAGAAGCACUGGAUUUUGCAUACUUGCUUAGCAGUGGGUGUUCGGGAUGACUAGUGCUGAGAGGUUAAAGACCAAAAAGAAAGAAAGAGCGAAAAACCGUCGGUGUAUCCACUUAAAGCCUGGAGGUACCUCAACUGCCAUAAGAUUACUACUCGAGUGGCACAAUACUGGUCUUGCCGACAUUCACAAAUAAAAGUUAUUAAGGUUUGCCAUCAGUUUUAAUUGACAUUAUUUGGAACCAGAUAUUUGUUAAACAGAUGGCCAGAAUAAGGUACCACACAAGAAAGUAUCCGUCUCCUGCCUCAAGUUUUAAGCUCUGCAUCAUAAUUGGUAAUCAAAUUUCUUUAGAAGCUUUUAUGUUACAUCAUAGGUUAUUUCAGGAAAUAAAUUACUUUAGAAUCUUCUUUUUCUCUACCAUUGGUGGCAACCUGCAAGAAAGAUAGCUCAUUUUUUAAAUAAUUUAAUAACCUUAACAAAAGAUGCAAUUUCCACAUAAGUGAAGUAUGUUACAAAAGUAUAAGUUGAUGGUACCUGUGAAGAACUGUUUAUGAUAUAAACACUUGGCUAUAGAUCAAAUGCCAGCUAAAGUUCAUGAUGAGGCAAGAACUAUUAGCUACUUAGAGGACUCUUACAAUGUCCUAGAGAGCAUUUGGUGUGUGUAUAUCAAAAGCCUUAAAAAUGUGCUUGUCUUUUUACUGGCAAUUACAUACCUAGAAAAUUAACUUAGGGAAGUUUCAGAGAUAUGCACAAUGAUAGGAACAAACAUAUCCCUUAAAGUGCUAUUAUUAAUAGUGAAAAAUGUAGAAGUAACAUGUAUGUCCAGAUUUAGAGAAGGUUACAUUAUGGCACAUUUAUAUAAUGAAAUAUUAUGCAGUUGUUAAAUUGCAUUGUAGAAAAUAAUACUUCACAAUGUAAAAUUCCAAUAAAUAUAAAAAGAGAGCAUAAGUAUGAUAUGGUAUGUUCGGUAUGGAUCUAUUUUUAAAUAUGUAUGUAAAUAUUUAUAUGUAGAGAAAAGACUAAAGGUUUUCUCUUCAAAAUAUUAACAGGGGUUUUCUCUGAGUGAUUAUAUAGGCCUUUUUUUUUUAAUUCUCUUUUUUGCUUUUCUGUGGUCUACCAGUUUCUACACUAAGUACAUUUGUAAUAAUGGAAAAAAAUGUAAGAGGGUGAAUAGAUGAUGUUGGAAAGGAUCUCAGAAUCAAUUACUCUAGGAGCUCCUAAACCUAAUUUUGAUCCAAAUCCCCUUUGUAAAAACAGAUUCCUGGAUUCCACCCCUAUAGAUUUUGAUUCAUAAUGCCUGGGGUGAGGUUCAGAAUUUUUUUACUAAAAACACACAAGAAAACCUUCACGUGAUUCUAAUGUGCAAUCAGAUUUGGGAACCACUAAUUUUGGUUCUUUAUCCUUAAUAAAGUCAAACAGGAGGCGAGCAGACUCUUCCUUCUCAUUGUCAUAUCUUGGCAUUGCAGCAUCUUGCCCCAGCCAUGGGUCCUAGCUCAUUGUGAGCCUUACCUGUAGCCGUCAAGUCGAUUCCGACUCAUGGCGACCCUAUACGACAGAGUAGAACUGUCCCAUACAGUUUCCGAGGAACACCUGGUGGGUUCAAAAUGCCAACCUUUUGGUUAGCAGGUGACUCUUAACCACCACACCACCAGGGUUUCCAUUGUGAGCCUUAGUUAUCUAUAAUAACACCAUUGUUACCAAUUCAUCCCAUGCUCUUCUCCUCCCCAAUCUUGGUUCAUGCUCCUCUUCCCAUCACUUGUAUUUGGUUUCUGAUUAUGACUUAAUUUAGCCUCCGUUCCAGUGGUUAAUUUUCAUUUAAGAUAUUUUUCUUGAUUAUAGCCCACAGUAAAAGAAUAUGUGUUUAAAUUUAACGAGCUUUUCUAUUUUUAUCAGGAAAACAAGCUCAGAAAGUGCACUUUUAUAUAAAGUAUAGUGCUGUCUGAAAGUCUUUUUGAUUAAUGAUAGUUCAGCAACUAGUUACAGAGCCUCUAUCUGUGCAUUCCUUGAAGGAGAUACUGAAGAGUUAAGAGGUAAAUUCCCUGAACCAGAGAAGAAUGUGAGAGAACAUAUGAUCUGAGGGUGCAAUAAGUGAUGGAGACAAAAAAUGCUCUACAGAGGUAGAGAGAAAAGUGCAGUGGCUGGGAUGACUUCACGAAGGAGUCAUUUAGUGGGUGUGGAGCUUGGAGAGCCAGCCAGGGAAAGAACGUGAACAAGGACCCCAGCUCUGAGAUGAGGGUAUUGUUUUGGGGACAGUGAGGAUCUGAGGAGAAUGCAGCAAAGAUUUUGGAGAUAGCAAUAGGAGAUAAAAGAAAGCAGACACAGUUAACCCAACAUUAUAAGUUCCUGUGACGAUGGUCUUCUUUGAUCUCGUAUCAAUGGAAAAGGUACUCAGUAAAUACUCGGUCAAUAAACUAACAAACUGAUUGCAGAGAAUUCAACACUUCAGAAGAAUUUAAGUUUUAUCCUAUAGGCACUGAAAGCACCACCAAGUAUUUUUGAGGAAAGUAGUGAAAAACUGAAAAUCAUGUUUCAGAGAAAUUGAUUUGGUGGUAACUGGUGGGAUAUAUUUAAGAGGAGAAAUAGUAGACAGAAAACCCUGUUGAGUUGUACACCUGGCACUCUAUGCUGUUACCAUCCACGUAUGACCUUGGGCAAGUGACCUAACUUCUCUUGGACCCAGUUUUUUCCCACUGUAAAAUGGUGAAUUUAUACUAGACCAAAAUUCUUAAAUUGGGACCCAUGCAUAUGCCAUAGAGGUUGAUAAGCCACUCCCAAAAGUGUUUUCUAAAUUUGUGUGUAAGUGCACCUGUGUAUUUUCUGAAGCAAGAUUCUCAGAAGAUCUGUGACCCCAAAAAAGGUUAUAGGAUAAUCGUUCCCCAAAGUCUGGUUUGCAGACUAGUAGUAUCAGCAUCACCUGGGAUCUUGUUAGAAAUGUAAAUUCUUAGGCCUCACUCCAGAUCUUCUGAAUGAGAAUCUCUGGGAAUGUAGCCCAGGAAUCUGUUUUUUCACACCCUCUUUAGGUUAUUCUUGGAAACCCUGGUGGUGUAGUGGUUAAGGAAUAUGGCUGCUAACCAAAAGGUCGGCAGUUCGAAUCCACCAGGCACUCCUUGGAAACCCUAUGGGGCAGUUCUACUCUGUCCUGUAGGGUGGUUAUGAGUUGGAAUCAAUUCACCGGUUUGGGUUUUUUUUUUUUGUUGUUGUUUUUUUUGAGGUUAUUCUUGCACACACUUAAAUUUAAGAAGCAUUUAGUAGCUAGAUAAGCUCUAAGCUGCCCUCUAGUUUAAAAAUUUUUGACUACUUUGCAAAAGAAAGGAAGAAGAAAAGGAAAGGAACAAAGUAUAAGAAAGAUUACAAAAAGAAGAUUACAAAAAGAUUUAAUAACAGCUUAGAUAAACAAUCAUAAAAAAAAUGGAUCAGGUUUUAAACCUAGACGACCAACAUGAAAAAAAUGUACUUGACAAAAAUUGAGAAGCUGUGAUGCUAAUUUAUUUGGGUACAAUAGAAGACGAGACCAAGCACAAAUCAUCAGUCAGCUGAUUUUUCUUACUGACAUUCUUCCUGCAGACAUAGUAUCUAGGGAGUUCAGUGUACCUUGUGCUGCAAGGAAUUAUCCCAGGAUCGCCCAACAGAAUCUUUGUAGAUAUUGGAACAUUGAAUAUUGAAUAGCUGGAACACUGAAUAAGGAAUAAGUGAGUAGGAGUUGAGAGUGAUCAGAAAAAAAUAUUUUGGCAAUGAUACGUGUGUACGUGUGUGUAGGAAAAAAAAGUAAAACCUUAAAUUGGUAUUCCCACAUGGGAAAAAUAUAAAUGUGUAUGUAUUUUUUAAGCCAUUUUAGUUCUAGGUCUCAUUUUCUGUAUCUGAAUAGCUCUUAAUAAAUCACAUUCAUUUUAUAGCCCAUACUUUGAUCUGAAUAUGUCAGUGCAAACUCAGAUUCCUUCUAUCUACUAUCCAAAGAUUCAGAAUAAAGUGUGGAGAACCAUAUGACAGGAACAUCUACCAUGCAUUCACUACAGCCCUUCAUACAGUGAGCAUGUUUGAGAGAAACACGACGUGAUGAAGAUGUAUAAUACAAGAUUCCUAUUUCGUAGGGCUGACUUUAUGUGAAUCAUUGAGUUACAAACAAAGAACACAUUCCAGUCAUCCAAGCAAUAAUUGUAAGAGGACAGCCAAAAAGUAAGUUUUCAUUUGGACAAACAAACAAACUAUAUAUAUAUAUCUUUACUUCUACUCUUAUCCUGUCCAUCAGAGCUCUUUUAUUUCAAUUUACAAAUAUUUAUCAUUUUUAUGUAAUAUAAAAUUGCAAUAAAAAUCCAAAAUAACUAGCAAUAUUAAAUAGCUAUCCAAUAUGUAUUUUUUUACCAUUGUAUUCAAGGUAUACUUUUCAUUUGAAAAAGUGUCUCAGUGUCACAAAUUAAUUAGUUUUCCUCAUUAAUUCUGAACAUGAGGAUGGAUUCCAUAUUUUCACACACAUGCCUUCUUCUUUAUAUUCUGAUGGUGUGUAAGACUCUUUUCAGAAUAGUUCCAGAUAUCCAGCAGCCCAAGAAGACUGAGUAUUAAUCCUUGGAAUAUCAGUCCACUCAGAGGAUUGCUACUCCACCUUCCAGAUCAUUCCCUGCAUAUACUAAGUUCAGGGGAAGUCUUCUUCACCGUGGGCAGUCAGUAUUGAACAUUUCCAUGAUUUCAGGCUUGAAAACAAAAGUACAAAGGCAAAAUCAACAUUCUGCCCUAGUGCGAAUGGCUUGUUAUUUCUCAAGUCUAUAUUUGAGCUUUAGGCCUUCUUUCAUUCAUUAAUUUAAAAAUGAUUGAGCAGCAACCAUUGAAUAAGAAAAAGUAUGCUAUAAAUGUGUGUGCUUUAAUGCAGGAAAAUGCAAAUGUUAAAAUUUUGCAUGCAUGCCCAAACUGUUCGAUUAUAUUUUGGGGCAAGUCUAAGUAUUAGUUGCCUACAGGGUAGCUCAGACCUUAAACAUUCUUUUUUUUUUCCUAAGGGAAAUUUUCUGGGUGUUUCUGUGUCAGAGAUAAAAGCCAUUUUUUCUCCCUCUCAUGUCUGAACCUGAAAGAGUAGGACUGGAUUCUGUUCAGACACACACAUUUAGCUGGGCAAGGCGAGUACCUGUCUCACCUGCAUUCUUGACAUAUUUUUUCCGCCCCUCCCCAAGCCCCCAUAUUAUAAAACUACUUCAAUUUCCCUACAAAUAAAUAAGAAUCUAGAUAAUAAUCUAGAUCAUCGGAAAUGAUAGCUUUCAAUUUCCAAAUGAAGAAAAUAACUGUCUAGUGACCAGUGUUACAGCAGAGGUGCUCACCAUGGGCUGUAAUCAAAUAUAAAAUUUCUUAUGAUUUUAUUUCCACCCAGUCACAGCCUUCCAAAAGAAAACUCCUUGCACAUAAAGAUACAUUGUUAGCACAUUUCGGCAACUUCAUUUCUCCUCUCUCUUUUUAGUCACUCUUUUUGCCAUUCUUGGGGUGAGUAGUAAGGUACUCUUCAGCCAACUAUGUAGAAGAGUGGAUAGCUGUAUGAACAUAACAAGACGUAUGAGAGACACCUGACCCAGCUCACUGGGGUCACUGUAAUACCAACCUCAAAGUGAAAAACACCCUUUUCGUUCCACACCAAGUGACUUAUAAGCAAGCCAAAGCGAUUUUCUGACCUUAUUUUAUACUCCCUCGUCAGCGUACUCACUGUGCCUUGGGAUAGUCAAGGUCAUAGAGUGCAAAGUAUUUCCUAAUAAUUGCUGCCAUUUCUUUUGCUUUUCAAAUCCCUGUAUAAAAGCAAAACCUCUCUUGAGCAACAAACUUCAUUCUGUUCUCUCAUUCAUCAUCAUCACCAUCAUCAUCAUCAUCAUCAUCACCAUCAUCUAAGUAGCCAGUUAAGUAACCAGCAUGUGGUUCUGUACUCUGAUUGGUAUUUGUUGAAGAAUAAGAGGAUGAAAUUCAGAUCUCUUGCUCAUUUCAAAACAGUUGUCAGAUUCACCUUUGGAGUGGAAAAAAAAAAAAC